rnacentral:rRNA from 1 species
CCAGAGGCCAUUGCUAUCAGGGUUUGACUAGGCCAUGCGAGUCGAGAGGUGUAAGACCUCGGCAUACUGCUCAGUAACACGUGGUUAACCUGCCCUAAGGUGGAGAAUACUCCCGGGAAACUGGGGCUAAUGCUCCAUAGUGGAUAUGUCCUGGAAUGGUAUAUCCUCGAAAGAUCCGUCGCCUUAGGAUGGGACUGCGUCCGAUUAGGUUGUUGGCGGGGUAACGGCCCACCAAGCCAUUGAUCGGUACGGGUUGUGGGAGCAAGAUCCCGGAGAUGGAUUCUGAGACAUGAAUCCAGGCCCUACGGGGCGCAGCAGGCGCGCAAACUUUACAAUGCGAGCAAUCGUGAUAAGGAAACCCUGAGUGCCUGUCGAUGCAGGCUGUUCAUAUAUCUAAAUCAUAUGUGAAGAAAGGGCAGGGCAAGACCGGUGCCAGCCGCCGCGGUAAUACCGGCUGCUCGAGUGAUGGCCACUAUUACUGGGUUUAAAGCGUCCGUAGCUUGACUGUUAGGUCUCUUGGGAAAUCUUCACGCUCAACGUGAAGGCGUCUAAGAGAUACCGGCAGUCUUGGAACUGGGAGAGGUAAACCGUACUUCGGGGGUAGGAGUGAAAUCUUGUAAUCCUCGAGGGACGACCUAUGGCGAAGGCAGUUUACCAGAACAGCUUCGACAGUGAGGGACGAAAGCUGGGGGAGCAAACGGGAUUAGAUACCCCGGUAGUCCCAGCCGUAAACAAUGUGCGUUAGGUGUGUCGGUAACCACGUGUUACUGAUGCGCCGAAGAGAAAUCGUGAAACGCACCACCUGGGAAGUACGGUCGCAAGGCUGAAACUUAAAGGAAUUGGC